GGGCCACACCUGCAGCAUAUGGAGGUUCCCAUGCUAGGGGUCAAAUCGGAGCUACAGCUGCCAGCCUACGCCACAGCCACAGCAACUCAGGAUCUGAGCCAUAUCUAUGACCUACACCACAACUCACAGCAACGCUGGAUCCUUACCCACUAGGCGAAGUCAGGGAUCGAACCCACAACCUCAUGGUUCCUGGUUAUUUUCGUUUCUGCUGAGCCUGAUGGGAACUCCUGCAGUCUUAGAUAUGUACACGUACAUUUUGCAUCUCCGUGGGGACAUGUUCAGCAUUUCUCACACUUGUUUGACCUCAGAAUCCCCUGUUAUUUUAUGGAACUUGUAUUAAUAUCUCAUAGAUAUGGUAUUCCAAAAGGAGCCACAUUCUCUUUCCUGACAUAAAUUUUAGAAAGGCUAGGUAAAUGGAAUAAUGAAUGGAGAGAGAAAACACCAGCUGGCCAUGGCUUUGACCCCACGCCUGGUACUUCCUUGUCUUCUGGGUUCAUCACUGAAUAAGCAUGAGUGAUCAGUCUCUAACGUUUUGUUCCAUCAUUUGCAGAGCUACCCUCAUAGCAUCACGAAAAAGCAUGAGGGUCCUUCUCUCCAGCAAUGAUCAGUUCAGGCUAAGCCUUGGUGCUGAAAGUGGGAGAAAAGGCAGGGAGAGCCCUGUAAAACUGGAGGAGCACAUGGAGUGAAGAUUAUUUACACUGUGUGCCUACACCGGGGGGGGGGGGGUCCACUAAAAUUUACUAUCUCAUCCUAGUCUUUGAGAUAUGCUUAAAGACCCAGAGUUCAGGUUGCUUUAGUGGGUCAUUCUGUGUCUGAUGGAUGCACCUGCCCGCUCUCUCCCGCACCAGAGCAGAACACAAAACACUGUCACAUCCAAUGUGAUGGGAUCACAUGUCUUCAGACCCUUUUUAUGAGGGUGACUCUCUAAAAUGCCAUCAUUAUUCACUAUUAUUUAAGGAGGAGGAAGGAGAGGCACGGAAGGGAAGUUUUACCCCUCAGAGGGAAAGCCUCAGGUGAACCUUCUGGCUACCAGAAUAUAUCGUUCAGAAUAUACAGUGGGUAGAGAAGAUACCUUGCAAUUACGACAUCAAAACAAAUUAAUUCCUACCACGUCCCACGUCCAGCUGAGUCAGACUGCCCUAUCCUCAGAGUCAGAAAUGUAUAACAAGUCAGUCAAGUCAUUAACAGGUUAUGCAUUUUGCAAUGUCACUGACCAGAAUGUUUAGUGAGUGAGUAAAAUUAACCUAACUUCCAACACGAACUUUGCAUCUUUCCAUGUAAAGGUACUUAUACCUCUUUUCAUAUUUCCAAAUACUCCUGUCAAGCACACUCUGUUUUAACAAUAAACAGACUUAUGGAAUAACUUGUUUGUAUUGUGCUUUACAGUUUACUAAGUACUUUCAUGUACAGGUCUUCUUUUAUCCUCAGUAUAAUUCUGAUGGAUCUUAGUGUCUUCAUUUUCUGAUGUAGGAAUUAGGAUUAUUGCUAAACUAAUAUCCAGCAGAGUGAGACUGAACCCCAGACUCUGAUUCCAGAUUUAGCCUGUCAGUUCCCCACAACUGGCACUGAAGGAUUUCCCUUCUAAGCCCACAGCAAUCUCAAUUUUUUUCUAUACUCCUUGUUCCAUGUACUAAUAAAAUUCCAAGCACAUUUCUGGAAACUAUAUUCUUUUUCCAGUUACUCCAUGUGUCUCUGCCUCCUCUACCCAAUUCAAACACAAGCCUUUGGUGACACUGUACUUUCAGGGACCCCUGAAGAACGUUCCUUCCCUCUAGACCCCAUUCAACCAGGUUUAACCCUCGGCGACAGAACCCAGCACAAGCCAGGAGGGGCGCAUUCCCACCCCUCACAAACUCUCUGCCUUUCUCAAGCCCCGUCCUUGAGUAGGGAGGAGACUCUCCCGUGUGCUGCGUGCUGCUGGAACACCAGCUGACGUCCGGGGUGGACGCACACCACUGCCCUCUGCUGCAGGUGUCCGUUUAUCAUAUGUCUCCCACUUGACCUUGGUCAUCUUGAGAAGGGCGACCUUGGGUCACUUUUUUCUUUGAAUCCCCAGAACCUCAUACACAGUAGGUUGUCACUAAUUAAUAAAUAUUUUAAUUUAAAAAGUAACCCGAGAUCAAUUAAGGCAGUUAGUGUCUUUGAGAGGUUCCCAGUCUCACGGGGAAGAAAAACAUAUACACAGACUACAGCCAAUAACAUGAGGCACUGUACCUCCGGGGUACAGAUGGGUUCAAGGGGCUCUGGGAGCACAGACAGGUAGGGACCCAAGGCAGUCGGCCCUCAGAGACAGUGAAGUUGGGCAGAAACUUCAAGAGUAGACACUCUCAGCCAAGGUGCAUAAAGCUGACAGGAAAAGGGUGGGAGUGGGUGGCGAACAGGGGUGGCAGGCGAUUCAGGGGUUUGGUUUGGGGGGCAGCAUAGCAGCCCCUUCUCUGGGGGAGCUGCCGCUCUCUUCAGCCAGUCUUGUGGUUCUAAUAGUAUCUGCUCAUGAUAUCUCGUUCCCCUGGCCAGGAAGACUUCCCAAAGGUUUUGCAAAUGUCUUCAGGCUCACAGAAGAAACAGAGUGAGAAAAUAAAACUGGCCCAGAGAGAUAAGCCAAGGAGAAAGUUGGUGGAAGUGUGUUGUGGAAGCACCCCAGUCCCUGAUCCAGUGGUUUCUGGAAUCUGGUGCACCUCUGCCGUUCCUGAAGUCUGGUUUUCUACCUCAGCUGAGUCAAGCUGGGUUUCUGCCACUUGCAAACACAAGAAUCCUGAUCAAUGCUAAGACCUUAAAAAAAAAUCUCCCACAACACGCACAGAGGUAGGCACAAAGUAGCUACUCAAUAUUUUACUCCUCAAACAGACCUAUUUCCAUCAUCGAGUUCAACCUCUUUAUUUAAAGAUGGGGACACAGGCUUACAUAAUUUCCCCAAGAGGUUCUACAAAAGAGUUUACAUCAGAACCUGAACUUUUCUCAGACCAGUGUUCAAUACACACAGACUGCUUCCUUUGCUGUUUGCUGGCUAAUAAGCCUCAAAGGGUUCCUAUUUGGUGGGGAAAAAAAAGGAAGAAAAAAAUCAAAAUGGACAAAAAAUUCCUGAAAGGACUGUAAAGUGAUGACAUUAUUGUUUUUUAGUUAAUUCUGUACCAAAUAGUCCCUGACAUGCACCUGCCUCUGGGGUAGGUGGAUAUUUUGAGACAAGGCACCCUCCUUGACCUCAAGGAGUUCACCAAGCAGAGUGAGGAGACUGCACAGGCUAUCAGAGCUCACAGACGCUCAAAUGAGCCAUCUGGGAGAAUAUGCACUUGUUAUGUUUGCAAGUGCUGGUAAGUCUCUUUUGAACCAGUUAUGAGCCAAACAAAAGUGUCACCUCAUAAUUUCAUAGCUGCAUUUAAAUUCAUGUUAAUCAAAAAUAGUACCAUUUCAGCUGGACCAACUGGAUACGGCACUUGGUUUUUAGAAAAUGCAAAAAAGCCUCCAAAGACAAUGGUUUCCUCCUACUAAGUAUAUUCAAAAGAAAAGGCGAUGGGUUCUGAGGUCUACUGUCAAAUAGGAGGUUCGAAGAUGUUUCGCCCAAGGCUAGGCAGCAUCACUGCCCUGAAGGGAACAGCACUAUUCAGGAAGGGUAAAUGUUUAUGAUGCAUUGUUAAAAUAAUGAAUUCUAGAGUUUACAUUACCUUUCCAGACAGGCAUAUAUCUGCCUAGAGGCAGGUGCCAGUAUCACCUGAAGUCACCUUGCAUCUCUUCCCUCCAGCUCUGAUUCUGCCACUGCUUACACUGGUUUUCUCUAAGUCUGCGAUGGGCUGGAGAGCUAUUUCCGUCCUAGUUCUUCUCCUUAUAUAGGUCAAAUCCCAUUCCAAUGAGCACCAUAACAAUAACCACCUCAUGGCCUGGUUAUUUUAGACAGCCUGAUAAAAUGAGAAUUAAGCAUGACCUCCCAGCCAGAGUCGGCUGUUAGAGAACUUGACCUGAAUAUUAUUUAAGCAAGGAGGCAGCCAGUUUCUUAUGUUUUUAUCUUUGUGGCCCUGGGGCAUGGCAAAACAGUCAGACAGAGGUACAGAAUCAUCAUCAGUGAGUCCAAACCACAGUACUCAGUUCCCAUUGUGGCUCAGCAGGUUAAGAACCCAGCUAGUAUCCAUGAGGAUGCGGGUUUGGUCCCUGGCUUUGCUCAGAGGGAUAAGGCUUUGGCAUUGCUGUGGCUGCGGCGUAGGCCAGAAGCUGCAGCUCCCAUUCAACCCCUAGCCUCGGAACUUCCAUAGGCCGCAGGUGCAGCCCUAAAAUGAAAAAUUAAAAAAUCAAAAAUUAAAAAAAAAGAAUCUCCAUGUUCUGUCCACUCCAGCCAAAGGAACUGUUCAUCCUAAUUCAGGUUAUAAAUAAGCCCUCUUGUCACACUGGGCAUCUCCAACCUGAGGUUUUUUCCCCUCUAUUCUUUCCCAGUAGGGCUGGAUUCCUGUGUCUUUUUGCAUGUGUUGCUGUUUCUUAGAACGAAGCCCUGGCUGUCACACUCGCCAAUGCUCCUCCACAAGAAGGUAAAUUCCCCCAGGAUAGAGCUUCGUUUGUUCGGCUUCCAGCUCUGUGUAACAUCUGAAUCCUCUUGCUAGAAAGCUUGCUGCACAAGAAUGUGAAAUGUCAUGUCUAGAACAGUGCCUGGCAGACAGUAAAUGCUCCAUCACUGUUCGCUAAAGGGUGCAAGUCCAACGCCAUCCCUUCCUCUCCUGGAGCAGUCGAGGGUCUCUCCUCUGACCUUGUUGUCCUGUUAGCGUCUCUCUGUUCUGACAGUAUGGGAUGCCCUACUCAUGCUCUAUCAGUUUUCCCAGCUGAACUGGAAAAUACUAUGUUUGAUAGCUCCAUGUCUUCUGUGCCUGAAACAGUAAGAGUUCGCUCACUGCUUAUUGCUUCAAUGAUUGAAAGAAUGAAUUAAAAUGUUUCUUUGGUAACAAUCAAGGCUGAGGAUUUAUGACUUAACAUCAUGCCUCAAGUUUGGCCUGGACUCCAGCGCUUUCCAAGCCGAAGCAGCCGUGAGUCACCGGGCUGGGCAGGGAGGGGAGGGGAGUUUGUUUGCGGAGGACUUGUUUCCCGACCUCGAUGAAUCACAUGUAUAAUCACCCCAACUGCAUCCUGUCUGGGGAAGUAACCAAAAUCCCUAUUUCUGGCCUUAAUGGCUUUUUGGUUUUAUGAGUAAAUGCCACUGGCAUGCCAUUAAAUAAAUGCCCUCGGAAAGCCCUCAGCCAGUGCUGUGACCUGUGACAGGCAGGUUGUUGAAGAGCAGCCUUGGGAAUGGAGCACAAGACCAAAGAAGUAGGCUAUGCGUCCCACCUGGACCGUCGCUCUCAGAGCUACCUGGCGACCUUGCUUCUGAGUUCUUUCCAAACAUCUGUUAGGCUCUUUUCUGGUAAAUCACAGGUAUGAUCAGGCCAUUCUCCUACAGAAAAAUAUGCAGUGGUUCUCAUCAUCUCCAGAAGACAGACCAAACUUUUUCACCUAGAACACCAUCUAUAUCCUGGCUCUGACCUACUUCACCCACUUUUCCUUCCCACGCCCCCACAUAACUAGAUGCUCCAAACAGAAUGACUUUCUGAUCACAUAUAAUCCUAUUCUUUGCUCUAUGACUUUGUUUCCUGCUUCCUCCUCGUAUGUCCACCCCCUACCACUUCCAGAUGUCUAAAGAAAUGCCACACCCUCCACAAUAUCAUCCGCAGCCGUCCAAUAAGAAAGAAUAAAGUCUCCUUCAAGGACGCUCAGAUUCCAUUGGGGCUGCCGUUCCACUAUCUCUAAUGUGCUUGGGAAACAUGUAUGUGCAUGUUCGUUUCUCUAGUAAAUCAUUUCCGGACGAAUAUCUGAAUCUUAGUCAAUGUGAUGUUCCUUCGACUCCUAGCAGUGCUGGCCACAGUGGACACUCCAAAUAAAAGUUAGCUGAGUGGAAAAAGAGAACGAGUUCCACUGUUCAAAUCCUCAUCUUUGAGAAUCUUCAGGAAAGGUGUGACAUAGAAGUUUCUUAUUCUCACUCUCCUAUUUUAUCCCUUACCUCCUCUCCAAGAGAACACAAGAUUAAGAAAACCUUUGGUCUCUGCAAAUAACUUGGUUUUAUAUCCAUGAAGCCUCAAGGCCAGUUAUCUGUUCUAGACGUUCUUCCUCCUGAUAGCCAGCACCUCAGGGCCCACCUUGCUAGUAAGGCAGAACAACUUUAGAGGAAAAAACAGAAUUUUGGUCAUUAACUGAGUCAAACAAAAAGAUAGCUGAGAGGGUAUCUGUCAUUUCAAAGAGCAAACUUUUAAAAAGAUAGCAUAUUCUAAAAACAAAGACUUUUCUGUUACUGGCUGUUUGGGAAUAUCCACGCCCCAGUGCCAAUGUCAGGGUGGGCAUACUCGUUCAGUGUGGAUAAGUGAGAGCUGAAGCAAUAAAGCUUAGCUUUGUCUGAUCGCAAAGCAGUGCAGUCUCCUUUCUGUUGGUUGGAAUGACUGCUUAUGAGAACAGGGAUAUAGAAGCAGAACAGGGUUAAAAUCACCUAGGGCGAGGUCAGAGAACGAGAGAACGGAACGUCAAGCAUUUUGCUUCCUCUGCUGUCUUUGGGCAAUGACCACUUCUGAGCAGAUGAGAGAUGGACGGCCACCACUGCAGCUUGAGAGCCACCUCGACACGCUGCCAUCAGGGCAACGCCCUUCCCUCCCCAGGUGUCAUCCUGCCACACCACGUAAUGGCUGAAGGACCACAGAAAAGCCUGCAAUGUCUUCGCCUGCGAGGUGAGGAUGACGCCUCUGACAAGGUACCAGUGUUAGAUCUUAUAAACUGUAAAGUACUGCUUCGAUAUUAGUUGGUGGAGCAAAUUCAGAGGUUUUUCCUAUUACCCUACACCUGGGGUCAGCAAACAACUUCUCUAAAGGGCCAAGUAAGAACAAUUGCAGGCUGUGUGGUACAUGUGGCUCUAUGGUAACUACUCAACUCUGUCUGCCUCUACAGCAGGAAAGCGACCCCUGACAACAUGCAAAUGAAGGCAUGUGCUUCGUUCCCAUCAAAAUUUACAGAAACCGUGGUAGACGGGACUUGGCCGUAUUUGCAAAUCCCCGCCCUACACCUUUAGAGUGAAUGAAACACCAGAGGCAGACAGAGGGGCAUAUCUAAACUCUUUCCCAGUGGGAAGAGUGGCAUGUCUGUUUUCGUGAACAACUGUCCUGAGCCUGGCAGACCUCCCUUUAAGGCACUUCUGGAAAUCAGAGUUUUAGUUUUGUGCAUUAUACCACCAUGGCCAUCUUCAGCAUUGUCAACCUCAUUCUGCACCUCACUGAGAAGUGUUACUGACACAGGCAUAAAAGAACCCUAGUUUUCUAUACCUACCACUUGACCACACUCUUCUGGGAAAGACAGCUCUGAUUAUUGUUAAAGAAAAUAUCAAUCAUACUUGUGGUGAAAGGUCGCUACAUUUUUUAACAAAUUGGUCCUUUGAGCAAGAUGAAUUUUAAUGGAUUGGUUUAUUAACCUAAAGGUUGAACCAGACUGAGAGUAACUGAAUGAUUCGUUCAUAAUUAGUAUUAUUUAUAAUUAUUUUACUUGGGAAAAAAAUAUCACCUUAAAUGUCAGGAUGUUUUUUAAUUGCUUCAGAUGAGAUUCAAAAUAAUUGACUUUGCAAAUGUAUUUAAAAAAAACUCAUUUAAAAUUAUCUGAAGCUGCUGAGAGUCUGUCUGGAAGGGGCAAGAUAUUGAUAUUCAUUACUAGGAACAGGGCAGAAAUUGAUUCAUGUUUUUUUUUUUUUUUUUAACCACAUGAAGUGUGUCCUGUGGUCACUGCUGGACAGAGCGGGGUUGCUGAUACGGGGAUGUGUAGGUUCCUCUUCCCCACCCAACCUGCUCUCUAAGUAAGUACGCUGUGUGACAGUCAGUGCACGUUUUUGCUUGCAUACAUAUCUGCAUGUAUUUUGUAUUAAAAGGCGGUAAGCAGAGGCUUGAAAAGAGAAAGGACAUAUACAUGUAUAUGCUUGGUGGUUUGAGGAAAAUACAGUCUCUGGCCAUAUGGUGCAUGUGUACAAGUGAUUUGGAUGGAAUACCAACGUGUUGAAGGUGAGUAGGGGUAUCACCUAGCAUCGCUGUAAGUAUUUAUCAGUUGAUUGGCAGAAAAGAAAAGGAGAGUACAUUAACACCUGGGGAAAGAAGGCUUUGAAACAAUUACAGUUGUGAAAUACAGGUAAAUCGCUAAGAAAAAACAUUCAGCAGCAGAACAAUAAUGAUACUUUGUAACAAUGCAACAACUGCAGAGAUACAAACUUUUCCUGUCUUCAUAUACAGCCUCAGGAGUGCCUCACAGCUUCCUUUGGAUGCAGGAGGGAAGGGUAGGAACAACUUCAUUUGAUAAAAGGUGAGAAGGUUCAGUGAAUUUGCCCCUGGAUUUGGAUUUGCCCCUGAUCUACACUGCCUUCCUCACAUACCACACUCAUCUGGAGCCUGCAGAAAGGGUGAAUGUGUCCACAGGUACCAAGGCCAAGUUCGGCAGCCUUCAGAAGUCGCCUGAACCAGCCUGACUCAGAGAGCAGAACCCAAAUCUCCCAUCUGAGACUUUUCAGGGAGCAAGUAACAAGUGGUCUGAAAAGAACACCCCAGGCAGGGAAUAUGGCGAUGGGAUUAUAAACACAGCCUCUCAGUCGCUUCUUCCAAGUAUAUUCAGUCUGAUCAUGUGCCUGAGACCUGGUGUGACAUUGACUAG
rnacentral:lncRNA from 1 species